rnacentral:rRNA from 1 species
UGGGAAGUAAAAGUCGUAACAAGGUCUCCGUAGGUGAACCUGCGGAGGGAUCAUUACAGAGUGAGGGUUAACAGCCCGACCUCCAACCCUUUGUGAACACAAACUCGUUGCUUCGGGGGCGACCCUGCCGUUUGGCGCGGCGCCCCCGGAGGACACUUAACACUGCAUCAAUGCGUCGGAGUACUUUGUUAAUAAAACAAAACUUUCAACAACGGAUCUCUUGGUUCUGGCAUCGAUGAAGAACGCAGCGAAAUGCGAUAAGUAAUGUGAAUUGCAGAAUUCAGUGAAUCAUCGAAUCUUUGAACGCACAUUGCGCCCCGUGGUAUUCCGCGGGGCAUGCCUGUUCGAGCGUCAUUUCACCACUCGAGUCUGACUCGGUAUUGGGCGCCGCGAUUCAUCUCGCGCGCCUUGAAGUUGUCGGCUGGGUUCAUCAUCUCCGAGCGUCGUGGCUUUCAGUCUCGCUAGGGAGAGUGAUGGGCAUCUGCCGUUAAAUACCCCAUCAAAGGUUGACCUCGGAUCAGGUAGGGAUACCCGCUGAACUUAAGCAUAUC